UACAGAGGGUGCGAGCGUUGUUCGGAAUUAUUGGGCGUAAAGGGCGCGUAGGCGGUGCGGUAAGUCACCUGUGAAAUCUCCUGGCUCAACUGGGAGUCUGCAGGCGAAACUGCCGUGCUGGAGUAUGGGAGAGGUGCGUGGAAUUCCUGGUGUAGCGGUGAAAUGCGUAGAUAUCAGGAGGAACACCUGUGGCGAAAGCGGCGCACUGGACCAUAACUGACGCUGAGGCGCGAAAGCUAGGGGAGCAAACAGG
rnacentral:rRNA from 1 species